GGGUGCGGCGCCGGGCCGCAGGAGAGCGGAUGGUCGGGCCGCCAUCC
ncrna:unclassified sequences nhaA-I RNA